UCUGGAUCCAAACUCGACCUGGAAGCAGCCGGGCGGGGACAGAGUCCGGGUUGACUGAGCUCCUGUCAACACGACCCACUGCGGUGGAGCUGGAUCUGCUCCAGGUCAACACAGGUGGAUUCAGGACCGGUGGAGUGCCGCACCGCAAAUCCCAGCUGGAUCCGCCUCUCCCCGAGGCAAGGCUUCACAGAGGACGAAGCGUCCUCGUCGAGGACGAGCAGGUCAUCCCGCUGGGUCGGAGCGCCGGGAGCGUCGUCGCCACGUCAUGCUAAUGCCAUCGCUUCCUGCAAGCGCCCCAGCGGGGGAGCGAAGAUUCGGCCUUGAGCUGCCCGGACG